AGUUCACGUAACAUUCAAUCAAUUAUACCAUUGCUCUAUCUCUAAAGUUUUCUUUUUCUCCUUUUCUCAGUGUCUUACCAAGAAUGAAAGGCAACCUAUGUAAAAACUAUGGGCUUUCUAGUAUAAAUAAAAACUACUCAUCUCCAGAAAAUAAACAAUGACUGCUAAGAUGAUUGAAAAAAGAAAGGAGAAGAAAGUAGCUUGUAAAAGCGUGUGAAAUGCAUUCACGUUGGAAUCUCCUACAGGCACUUCAGAUGGAUAACAUUGACCUCAUGUGUAACUACAACGAAUUCAAGGGUGUGGACAUGUUUUUCAGGUCUUCAGACUGUAAACAUUUUAAGUGUGAUUGCUGUGAAUGAAGGAAACCCAGAGCCAUCAUGACAAGCCUAAACUCAAAGGGGACUGAUUUCUUCUACACUGAAUGUUUCAUUAGUGACAGGGCCCAGAUAAUAAAGAAUUGUGCUCACUUCCUGUGAGUGAUGGCUUUCCCUCAAUUGUAUGCUGAGUAACAUUUACAGUAUUCAUUUUUAAGCACCCAUCUUCCUGGGAGCCCUAUUUCCCCUAAGCUUUCAAUUGAUCCUCCUAAGAGCAGAGAUCACUUAGGCACUGAGCUAUGCAGCUGCUGCCUGAGUCUCCUGGACGCCUGCCCUCACCUCCAGCCACAUGAAAAACAUUCAAGCUUUAACUUCAGAAAUGUUCUCUAACCCACUCCCAGACACCCAACUGAUUAAAUCAUAGAUUAGAGGAAAAAAUUCUUGCCUGAAAUUGUCAUCUUGCACGUAUGCUGAUGUCCAGAAGGACACAUCCUGGUGGGAAGUGACUGCAUGUUUUGUUCAUAUUACAAGUCCUGUUGACAAAAGAGAAUAAUACAGGUGUCCUCCUGAAACUGUCACCACAGUGACCUUCCUCAGUCAAAAAGAAAUAUAAAUAUUAUUGUGUUUCUCGUGUCUGAGGCACCUCUGAAAGCAUUUAUCUUUUCAGAGAGUUCAGCACUUCAUCUCACGGGUUAAUUAAACCAACCUGUAGUGGCAAAGUUUAGUGGUAGUGAAAAUAAACAUAAUCCUCUUUCUGUUGCCCAACCUUUCAGUUUCAUUUUGUAAUUUUUCAAUACAGGGGCACAAUAAGUGAUAAUCCUGGAUUCCAAAUGAUUUCCACUUCUUUCUCUGCCACCUUCCCUGCCCCAACACCUGCCAUCCCUCAUUUACACAAUUCAAGUAAUCAAGGGGCAGUUUGGCUCCCUUUUUCUGGAGGCAAACUUUUGCAGAGUUUUAACUUACUCAGUGGGAAGAAAAGCCCCCAAAACACUGAAGCAUACCAAGCAAAUAAAUAAAUAAAUGCACAAAGGCUCCCUGCGGUUGUCUGACGAGGAUACUGGAGCAAGCAGCCUGAAGAACAAACGUCUGACUGUUGAAACAGCGAGACAGGAAUAAACCCAUGGGGCCACAUCUGGGAGUGUGAGUGUGUGAAUGGAACUAAGCUGGUCUCCCACACAACAGGAAUUCCACCAAAAGUAUGCGCUCUGUAUGGGAGGACAGAAAAAAAAUGUGUUUAAAAUAUCACUAAGGAAACCCAGAUACAUUAUCUCUGCCAGACUACAGAAGACAGUACAGUUAGUGCUUGUCUCAAAAUGACAGAAACAGAGAACAUGCUUUGAUGAUGUCGAAGAUGCAGGAAAAUAGAAAAAUAAAAACGGUGGAAAGAUUUUUUUUUAAUGCCCUAAAAUGAGCAAGACGCCUCCCUUUUCAUAGCACCAGGAGACAUUUCCAUUGCUUUUUUUUCAUGCUUGUGGCUUUUUGAGGGCAAAGAGUAAGUGAAAUCCAAUAAUUUGGUCUUUCUGCUCCAAAGUUUUGGCUGCCAUAAACUUAUUGUUCGAAUAUCAGAA
rnacentral:lncRNA from 1 species